UCCUGAGUAGCACAGUGGUGAAGGUGCUUGCCUUGAGUGCAAGCUGAGCUAUACAGCCAGGGUUAGAUCACCAGCUUACGAU